GGGCAGUCAGUUUAGACGGAUGAAACACUGCGGAGGUGCACCGAAGCAGAGAGGCGGGUUCGACUCCCGCACUGCCCACCA
rnacentral:tRNA from 1 species